AUUAUUUAGAGUCUAGCACGUCUAUGAGAAUUAAUUUGCCCAUCUAUAGUUGUCUUCAAGAUUGUUGCCUGUUCCAUCGCCAACACCCCCCUCAAGUUGGAGGGGGCAGAGUGCAACCCAACUUGCCCAAAAACUCAUGAUGUGAAGGACCGAUAAGGGGCUUUGUAAAAAUGUCAGCUUUUUGACAAGAAGAUGGAACAAAUGAAAGAGAAAUUAAACCGGAAAGGUUUUGUUGCCGAACGAAAUAACAAUAUAAUUCAACAUGUUUUGUUCUUUCGUGAAAAACGCGAUUCUUUGCAAUAUGUAUUGCUUCUUAGCUAUCAGAGAAAAUUGGAACAGGAAGUGACGGAGGGCUACCAAGAUCCGAGAGAAGCCGGACUAACCAGGUGAUUUCUGCGACUACUCGUCGCAUCGAUCUAUACUCCGCCUCGGCGGAAGAUAAAGAAACUGAUGUUUGUUUCUUUGAUUUUCAUGAAAUAGGAGAUCUACCGAGACUAAUGAAGAAUGCACUUACAGAUUUUCGUGUGUUAGGGCAAGAUCCCCAAUCUGAAUCACAAAAGCAAGUAGAUGUAAAGCAGAAUCAGAACUCAUGAAAAGUCCUAUACCAGGAUCGUUAAGGAGAUAUCUGAGACAAUGAUAGGCAGCAUCAAGGUGAGGCUGUCUAGGGUCCUGCAUGUAUUGGCUGAGGUGUUGGACUGCAAAAGAGAGGUCCGGUUGGGUGUGUGCGAGGAAAUUUAGUUUGCCAAGAAGUCGCCGAUAUAAAUGUUGGAUCGGGAAUUUGCUCCCCAAAAUUGAGAAGAAGUUUGCAAUUAGGAUCAAGUGGUGAAGAUGUUUGCUUUGAGUCCUAGCAGCCAAAUUCAGACAAUAACUCAAUGGUAAACUUCCUCUGACUGAUUAUUAAACCUCCGAGUUCAUGCAGAAUCUCCAUCCCUAAGAAGAAAUGUGCUUGUCCAAGGUCUUUAAUAUUAAAUUCUGUAUCCAGAAAUUGUUUCAAAUCAGUCCCUGUUAGUAGGAUAUCGUCAACAUAAACUGCCACUAUCGAGAUAGAACUCCCAUUCCUCUUAAAAAAUAACGAAUAAUCAUUCAAAGAAUGAACAUAACCCUUAAAGUUCAAGGCUGCAGUAAGGCGAGCAUACCACUGUCGAGAUGCCUGUCGAAGACCAUAAAGUGAUUUUCGAAGUUUACAUACAUGAUUACUUGUAGGGGGUUGAAGACCAGCAGGGAAUUUCAUGUAAACUACCUCUUCUAAGUUGCCAUGUAGGAAUGCGUUAUUGACAUCUAACUGAAAUAACCCCCAUUUCUUCUUAAUUGCAACAGCGAGAAGACAUCUAAUAGUUGUCAUUUUAACAACUGGGGAAAACGUUUCUGUAAAAUCGAGUCCUUCCCUUUGAGUAUCACCUCUUAUCACGAGUCUGGACUUUAAUCUUUCAACAGCACCGUCAGACUUGUAUUUAAUUUUGUACACCCAUUUACAAGAUAUAGCUUUCUUACCAAUUGGAAGUUCAACCACUUCCCAGGUUUGAUUAGUCAUUAAAGCAUCAAUUUCCUUUUCCAUAGCUUCUUGUCAACCAGGGUGAAAACAGCUUGUGAGUAGGAAUUAGGUUCAUUGAUGUGAUAGAGAGAAUUUAAAAACUUUUGGUUAGUAUGAGAAAGUGCAGAAAAAGGAAUAGAGGGAGGGGGAGCUGCAGAGGAGAAAUAGAAAUCAGAGAUUAGUAUAAAAUACUGCGUUACAGGCAUCAUCAUUGAGAUGAGUUGGAAGUUUGUGUGUCCUUUUAGAUCUUCGAAGCUCCUGAAUAAUUGGUGAAACUGCUUCUGAAUUAGGAUCUGGAAAUAUACAAUUAGGUGGUGAACUAGGAGAGUGUGAAUCAUAGGUGGGAGUAAUAGCUGAAUCUGGAAAAUGAUAAUCUCUUGUGGAAAUAGUGAUGGAAUCAGUAGGCACAUGAUCAAUUAAAUCAUAUGGGGAUUCUGGAAAAUGAGGGGGAAAAAUAGGAUUAUCAGGUUUUUUAGGAGCAAAGGGAUAUAUUCUUUCAUGGAAAAUCACAUUUCUGGAAACAGAAAUUUCUUUGGUUUGUAAAUCUAAAACUUUGUAUCCCUUUUUUCCAAAUGGAUAACUUACAAAUACACGAGCACCCGCUCUAGACUCUAAUUUAUUUCUAUUAUGUGAGGGUGUGGAUACAUAGCAUAAACAUCCAAAGCACUUGAUGUGUUCAUAGGUAGGUACUUUCCUAAAAAGGAGUUCAUAGGGUGUCUUGUAUCCUUGUACCUUUGAAGGAAAUUUGAUUAAAUAAGUUGCUGUAAGCAAACAUUCUCCCCAAUAUUGGAUAGGCAGAUGUGACUGAAACAGAAGAGCUCUACAAGUUUCUGGAAGGUGCUUGUGUUUUCUUUCCACAAUUCCAUUUUGUUGUGGAGUAUAGACACAAGUGGUUUGAUGAAUAAUCCCUUGUGAAAUGAAAAAUUCGGAUUGUAAAUUGCUUGCCCCUAAUCCCAAGGCAUUAUCAGACCUAAUUGUUUUUACUUUUGUGCUAAAUUGCCUUUCUACCAUGAUAAGGAAUGAUUUUAGAAUAGCGAAUGCAUUGCUUUUGGUGAUCAUCAUAAAAGUCCAUGUCCCCCUACUAAAGUCGUCUACAAUAGUUAAGAAAUACUUAUGUCCGUGAUGAGUAGAUGUCUUAUAUGGUCCCCAAAUGUCUAUGUAAAUUAGUUCAAAAAUAUGUGUGAUGGAAAUAGAGCUUGAUGCAAAAGGAAGCUUUGAUUGUCUGGCUAAAGGACAUAUUUCAUAAGGAUCAGAGAAUUUAUUACCGUAUGAUAGUGGAAGGGACUUGAUGUUUUUCAUACUUGAAAAGGGGAUGUGUCUUAAUCUUGUAUGCCAUAAAGAUUCAUCACAAAUUUUCUGAACAGAAGAACAUAAUGGAUUAAAAAGUGAACUCUUUUCAUUGAUAGGCUUUGCAGGAUCAUUACACUUUGACAUGGGAAAAGGAAAGCAACUGGAAUGUAACAUAGCUACUGCUUUAUCUGUAGAUGAAAAUUUGCAUAAUUUGUGAACAAAGACAAGGUUAUAUUUAAAACUAGGCACAUAAAGAACAUUUUCAAGAGUGAGAUCAGGAAGGACACACACUUCCAAACUGAGACACUUUGACCCUAUAAGAGUUAGGUAAUUGAAUGUACAGAGGAACGGGAAGAGAUUUAAGAUUUGUAAAAUGUGACACUACUACAAAAAUGGGCUUUAGCGGCACUAUGAAAUGUCUUUAGCGGCAAUAAAAAUAGCCACUAUAUCCUUUACCGGCCAAUGAUAUUUAGCCGGCAACACGGUUGUCGGCAAAGCCUUUGGCGACCAUUCUCACAAAAGCCGGUGAAAGGUAUAAUUUAUUGCCGCUAAAAAUCGUUAGUUCUACCGGCAAUUAUUUGCGGCAAUAAUUUUGGCCGGUAAAUUAAAUCCAUAACAAACUAACUAUACUCUUUUAGCGUUCAUUUUUAUAGCCGACAAGUUCAAUUAAAUUGCCGCUAAAAGUCAGUAGCUUUAACGAUAAAUUUUUGUGGCAAUUAGAAUGACUACUAUAUCCUUCCCGUAAAUAUCUUAUUUUGACCUUUUAGAUUAUAUUUAAAUGCCAAGUAAAUUUAACUAAAUAUCGCUAAUAGUAAAAGAGUGUCUGUCGGUGGAAACAAAGGUAGGAAAAUACUAGAAAACAUAAUAUUGAUUCAUCUCAACACUUCAAGGGCUCUUUCUCUCUCCCUUCUCUCCCUUUCUCUCUCUUUCUCCUCCUCACCUUCCUCAAGCAAACACCACCAUCAACACCACCACCACCCACCCUCUGGCGAGCCGCUGGAACCACCAGCUUUUUCCUUUAUCCUAUUCGCCGAGGGUCGAUUGGAAACAGCCUCUCUGCCCUUUCGGGCAGGGGUAAGGCUCAUCUACAUAUUACCCUCCCCAG
rnacentral:lncRNA from 1 species